rnacentral:rRNA from 1 species
ACGCUCGACACCUACGGGGGCAGCAGUAGGGAAUCUUCCNCAAUGGGCGCAAGCCUGAUGGAGCAACACCGCGUGAGUGAAGAAGGGUUUCGGCUCGUAAAGCUCUGUUGUUGGAGAAGAACGUGCGUGAGAGUAACUGUUCACGCAGUGACGGUAUCCAACCAGAAAGUCACGGCUAACUACGUACCAGCAGCCGCGGUAAUCUGAGCGGGCUGGCAAGGC